rnacentral:rRNA from 1 species
GAAAUGCGAUAAGUAAUGUGAAUUGCAGAAUUCAGUGAAUCAUCGAAUCUUUGAACGCACCUUGCGCCCUUUGGUAUUCCGAGGGGCAUGCCUGUUUGAGUGUCAUUAAAUUAUCAACCUUUACUGGCUUUUGCUGUGUAAAUGGAUUGGAUGUGGGGGUUUUUUUGCUGGUUUCUUUAAUUGAAAUUUGCUCCCCUUAAAUGUAUUAGCGGCUUCCCUUGUGGACUCGUCUAUUAGUGUGAUAAAAUAUAUCUACGCUGCUAGAUGUCUACGUCUUUGGGUGUUUAUGCUGAUUUCUAGUCGUCCUUUUAUUUGGRCAACAUUUUUUGAUUCUUGACCUCAAAUCAGGUAGGACUACCCGCUGAACUUAA